AGUAUUUGGAAAAGAUUCCUGGGUCUGUAAAUAUGAGCAUGUUUUUAAGUGAGAAAAAAAAAUAAACUUAAACCAUUCUCUCUGUUUAUAGGACUGUGCUUAGUUUACAUUCUCAUGUUGAUAGAUGAAGAAUGUUGGGUUUUGGUCAAGGGCUUAUAAAGCUGUUGAACUUUACAGGAAUACUGACAUCUUAAAUGUUCCAAAAUUCCUGCUUUUGCCUCUCUUGCUGGUGAUACCAGUGGAAAAGAGCAUAUUCUACACAACUCCAGAAGUUAAGCUUUGUAUUUUAAUGAACUUGCAGUUCUUCCCUUGGAAAUAGAAGAUAUAAUACUGAAACAACUACAGAUUCUCAUGUGACUAUGAGAAUACAUGGCAGUCAAAUGAAACACUGUCUCAAGAAAGUUGGCUGUAGACAAAAUUUCCACAGACACCAAAGGAUCUGGUAAGAGCUCAUGUGCUAGUGAAAACAUUCAAGGCAUUACUGCAUAAAAAUAUUGCAGUGCAUUGCAUUUUGUUUGCUGGAGGGUCACAUGCCCUGUAUUGUCCUGCCAUAACUACUUCAGAGGGGUUCACCAAAAUAAAAAGGGCAGUUUUCAGAGCA
rnacentral:lncRNA from 1 species